GGAGGAAAGCAGGGGAUCGUAAGACCUUGCGCUUUUGGAGUGGCCGAUGCCUGAUUAGCUAGUUGGUGGGGUAAGGGCCUACCAAGGCAACGACCAGUAGUUGGUCUGAGAGGACGACCAGCCACACUGGGACUGAGACACGGCCCAGACUCCUACGGGAGGCAGCAGUGGGGAAUUUUGGACAAUGGGCGAAAGCCUGAUCCAGCAAUGCCGCGUGAGUGAAGAAGGCCUUCGGGUUGUAAAGCUCUUUCAGUCGAGAAGAAAAGGUCGCGACUAAUAAUCGCGACUCAUGACGGUAUCGACAGAAGAAGCACCGGCUAACUACGUGCCAGCAGCCGCGGUAAUACGUAGGGUGCGAGCGUUAAUCGGAAUUACUGGGCGUAAAGGGUGCGCAGGCGGCUCUGUAAGUCAGAUGUGAAAUCCCCGGGCUUAACCUGGGAAUUGCGUUUGAAACUACAAGGCUAGA
rnacentral:rRNA from 1 species